rnacentral:tRNA from 1 species
GAACAUGAAUUGUGUUAGCUUUGCAAAAGCUAAAGAGAAUUGUUUUAUGAUUCCAUGUUUU